GUCUUGGUGGCGUAGUGGUCAAGGUGCUUGCCUGGAAAACGGGAGGGCGUGGGUUCGAUCCCAGCCAAGGCA
rnacentral:tRNA from 1 species